CUGUCUGACGAGCCACUGUCACUGGAAUCAGAGGAGCUCUGGAAGCAGAUUUCACAGUAGGGCCUGUGGCAGCGGCAGAAGAACUCAUCCGAGCUGCUGGAUUCUGUGUCGAGGAGGGAGUUCCGAACCAGUGAGCAACUGGUGAAUAAGCGGAAGGACUUGCAGCUGAGCACCUGCCUGCUCAUUCUCCCUUUUCCUCAGCCACAGAGCGGUAAGCUGGGCGUUGUCGCGGAAGUGUAGGUGACUCAAGGACUCGCCAGGAGCAGAGCGGAAAAGGAAGUGGGACUCUGUUUUCACCAUGACUGCAUACUAAUCAGAAGCGUGGUUUGCCACGGUGAGACCAAAAUCUGACUGACCAUGGCAGCUGCAUUGAAACGAGCUUAUUAAUGAUCACUUUUGGCACACCCAGGGAAGCAACACAUCCACAGGCAUGUUUCAUAAGGUGCAGGCCACAGGGAGAAAUGGAAUCUCCCCCUCUUUCUGUGUUUCAAGGAAGAAAAGUAAAGGUGAGUUUCCUCUGCUGCAGAGCGUAGAAGGGAGGUUCUUCAAGCUCUGGGAAGGUUCUACCUGCUGGCCUCCACACAGCCUGGGAUGUCAGGGAUGGAUGCUGCCCCAAACAGCCUUUGGGGACCAUUGCCAUGGGGAAAGGGAGGCAAGAAUGAGAAGAUGGACUGCCCAGAUGGUGCGAAAGUAGGAGGAGGACACUGGGGCAGCAGAGGGGCUGCAGAGGAGGGAAAUACAGCCGAGAAGCUGGGGUUACGGAGGCAGGAGAGAUUCUUGUGUUCAUCCACUGGGCAGUGCUGGAGCUGGGGAUUCAGAUACCGGAAACUCUCUAGGCCUGCCACAGGGCUCUGGGAUGGGCUGCUGGUUCUCAGGCCUGCUCUGGGAAAAGUGUUCAGGUGUGGGGUGUCGGCGACAGGAGUCCAGCAUUUUACUACCUAAGCAUCUGCUCCCUCUUAGGGCCCUGCCUCUGCAGACUCAAGGCAUCUUUUUGGUAGAGCGGAUUCAGUCACUGCAUGGGAAACAGGGUAGCAUGGCAGGAGUACAAAAAGAACGUCACAAAUUACCAUAAGGCUAAAGAGUCAGGCCACUUGGCUGUUCCAACAUUAGCUGAUUGUGAAUGAAAACCAUCCUGGGUGUUCUCGCCAAGUUUCUGGCCUUCUGUUUAGCUGAAAAAAAAUGUUUCUUUGAAGACUUCGGAGAGUAUCAAUGGCAAUGCUACUCCCUUGCCAGGUGGGAAGAAAUCUGGCUCUGAAAAAAGGUCCUGAAUGCUUGAUAAAUAGUAAAGAAAUAGUAAAGAAUAGUAAAGAAAUAGUAAAGAAAGGACUAGUAUUACUCUGAUGGAAAAAAAGGUCCAGAACCAAGGGAAUGGUGCGAGGGACUGAGGGUGCUUGGGGAGCUGAAUCCCUUCAUUGGUUACGUUCCUUAGGUCCCCAUCACACCAUCCUUUCGCAUAGGGACUAUUGGCACCCAGUGUCAGUCCAAUAUGAAAAAGCAUAAUUUCCCAUAUAGCACCUACUCAGGUAUGUUCUCUACUAAAACAAAAAUAUGGAAUAUAAUUUAGUUAGUGUGAAAAAACUGGCUAAUUCCUCUGGGCCCCGUGCCUCCUCUCUGAGGCAGUGCAGCCUCAAGCUUUCCCAUGUGCUUUCUUCAAGCCCACAUCACUCUGCCCAGUUCUGGGAGAGGUGCCAAAUCUGGCUGAAGAACAGAAGAAAGAGGACUGGGGGUUCCCUUGUCUCUGCCUUGGCGCUACUGCGAUAUUCAGAAGCUCUAUUCAUCCUUCCUCCCCAUCUUUAGACACCUCUUAAUUUUCUGGGUUGGUAGGAUGAUUGAGAUUUCUAGUUAGCACCUGGAAAAGACAGUAAGGAGCCCCAUAGGAUCUUGGAGACAAGGGCACUACUCUAUGUAAAGAAAGAGUGUAUCACACAGCAGAAGCUAGCAUCCACUACUCCUCAGGGCCUUUACAAUGCUGUUCCCCACACCUGAAAUGCUUUUCCCUGCACUCUUUGCCUGGCUAAUUUGUAGUUAACCUUCAGCUCUCAGCUCAGAGAGUCUUUUCCAACCACUCUAAAUUAGGUUCCCUUGUCCUCACCACUCUUUCUUCCCACUCUGAUUUUUCCCUUCAUAAUUCUUAUCACCAUUUAUAACUAUAUGGCUACUUGAUCCGUAUCUAUUUCCUCCACUACACUGUGAGCUCCAUAAAGGUAGGGACUCUGUUUGUUUUGUUCAUCAGCACUUAGCACAAUGCCUGGCACACAUCUGUCCAAUGAAUGAAUGAAGUGGGUGAGGGUCAGCAAUGGGAGGGGCACUGGCGAAACGCUGAGGUUUUGCUUGCUGCUAAGGGAGACCAGAAUGGCUAGGAAUUGGGGAAAUGGGAGGAGGAGAAAGAAUGUUAGCAAUGAGGCAUAUGGGGCCCACCAAUGCAUGACUGGAGCUCUUUAUAGAGAAUCCAGCAGGCAGGGUCU